GGCCUUUUGAUAAUAAUUUAAGGUCGGGCCUGCCCAAUGAUUAAUUUAAUGGCCGCGGUAUAUUAACUGUGCAAAGGUAGCAUAAUCAUUAGUUUUUUAAUUGAAAGCUGGAAUGAAGGGUUUAAUGAAAAAAGUUCUGUCUCUACUUAAAUUUGUUAGAAAUUUAUUUUUAAGUUAAAAAGCUUAAAUAGUUAUUAAAGACGAGAAGACCCUAUAGAGUUUUAUAUCUAGAGAAUAUAUUUUAUUUAGAAUUUUAAAAUUAUGUUUUUCAGGUAUUUUGUUGGGGUGAUAGAAAAAUUUAAUAAACUUUUUUUAAAAAGAACAUUUAUAUAUGAAUAUUUGAUCCUUUUUUAAGAUUAAAAGAUAAAAUUACCUUAGGGAUAACAGCGUAAUUUUUUUUAGAGUUCUUAUCGAAAGAAAAGAUUGCGACCUCGAUGUUGGAUUAAAAUUAAUUUUUGGCGCAAAAGCUAAAGAGAUUGGGUCUGUUCGACCUUUAAAUUUUUACAUGAUCUGAGUUUAAACCGGUUUGA
rnacentral:rRNA from 1 species